rnacentral:lncRNA from 1 species
GCACCAUUUUUAACUUGGACUGUCAAUAUAUCAUACAUAUUGCAGAUGUAAUACAAGUGAUACAAACACUAAGUCUCUUUGUGCUUGGGUUGGACAGUCCAAUUGUAUAGAAUGUUAAAUCCAUUUUCUGCACAUAAAACAACCAUACCAUGGCACAAACAAUAAUCCUACAUAAAACAACACCAGUAGGUGAUUUAUCUUCCAUAAAUAAAACAUGUGCAAUAGCUAGAACAUAGAGAACAAGCUUCAUAGGAAGCCAUGAUGAAGCCACAGCUGGCAAUGAUAAUACAGAAAAGUUUACUUGAAGGGAGUAAUCCAACAUUUAAUUUAAAUCAAGCUUCUUUUUUCUUUUUAAAUGAAAAACCAGCUUCUUUGAUGACUCAGCAAAUUCGAGAACGCUUUUAUUGGAACCAAUUUCAAGGCGGUAUCUGUUCCAGAAAUGCUUUAAUCGGGUGCAAACGGGGCCUGACCAGUUUUCCUUUCCACAGGACUACGUUGCUUAGUGUUUAAGGUUGAGGAAGCCCUAUGGACAACCAAAGAAGCAAACAUGGCGGAAAGCUUGAUAUUUUCACACUUCAAACAAAUAUUUGGAUUUGGAAUUUGGAAACAUGUACAGAACAAAUUCUAGACGAAAAAUUCCCAACAAAUUCUAGUUCUUUUCUUCUUCUUUUUUUCCCAAUUUGGAAUUUGGUAAGAUUGGAAACAUGUACAGAACAUUCUAGACGAAGAAUCAACCAGAGGAUUUCAUUAUGUCUCUUUUGACAUGGAAUUGUUUGAACAAUUUCAAACAUGAAAUCCUUGAUUUUAAAUUAGAUUAUCUUCCUUUUGUUCUUUUCAGAAUCCACUUAAUUUGUUGCAAACAUAGUGUGAAAUAACAAAUUCGUUGACCAGAACGUAAUUACAACUCCAUUAAAUACGUAGGCAGUAGUUCACAACAAUUGUGGAUUCAGCAAUACUAUCAGUGGAUAUCAGAUCACACAAAAACCACCAAAUUAACUGGUAAUCAAGCAGACGUAAAAAAAAAAUCAAUAAACGGAAUGGCUUCUAAGCAAACUGAAGUACUAAAGAGAAAAAACUGAGGAGAAAGAGCAUACUCGAGAUGACGAGAGACUGUUAAGCUCUGCUAUGGCAACCUCGUGUCUUCUUACCUGAUUGCGGCCGCACACGCUAAUAAAUAACCAUAAACAGACGAGAGAGAGAGAGAGAGAGAGAGAGAGAGAGAGAGAGAGAGGAAACCUGUUUAACGAGAUUGAUUUUAGAGUUUGCGCCGUCGGAGGACGAGGGGGCUGCCAUGGUUCCGGAUUCGUGCUUCCAACAAGGGAGAGACUUUUUUGUUUCAAGAUAAAAAAGCGGUGUGUUUUAAAAAUACUUUUAAAUAAAAAAACACACAGUCAUUACUAAAUUUUAUUUUAAAAAUAAUUUUAAAAUAAAGUAAUAUUAUAUUAUAUUUGAUUAAUUUUGAUAUAUUCUAAAACUAAUAAUAAAUAUUAAAAUAAUAAUAUUAAUAUAGAGUUUAGAUCUUGCUACCUUAUUGGUUACUUAUUCAUAAUUUAAACUUGUAAUUUUAAUUACUUUAUUUUAACUACUAGUACGAUUAU